AGCAGCCACGGUAAUUCCAGCUCCAAUAGCGUAUAUUAAAGUUGUUGCAGUUAAAAAGCUCGUAGUUGAAUUUCGGGGUUAGUAAGUUGGUCAUGCCUCUGGUAUGCACUGGCUUUACUGAUUCCUCCUUCUUGAUGAACUGUAAUGUCAUUAAUUUGGUGUUGCAGGGAAUCAGGACUGUUACUUUGAAAAAAUUAGAGUGUUUAAAGCAGGCAUACGCUUGAAUACAUUAGCAUGGAAUAAUGAAAUAGGACGUUUGAUCCUAUUUUGUUGGUUUCUAGGAUUGACGUAAUGAUUAAUAGGGAUAGUUGGGGGCAUUAGUAUUCAAUUGUCAGAGGUGAAAUUCUUGAAUUUAUUGAAGACUAACUACUGCGAUUUCAUUUGCCAAGGAUGUUUUCAUUAAUCAAGAGCGAAAGAUCCUUCGAAGACGAUCAGAUACCGUCGUAGUCUUAACCAUAAACUAUGCCGACUAGGAUCGGAUGAUGGUUUAG
rnacentral:rRNA from 1 species